AUUGAACGCUGGCGGCAGGCCUAACACAUGCAAGUCGAACGAGUGGCGGACGGGUGAGUAAUGUCUGGGAAACUGCCUGAUGGAGGGGGAUAACUACUGGAAACGGUAGCUAAUACCGCAUACCAUCAGAUGUGCCCAGAUGGGAUUAGCUUGUUGGUGGGGUAACGGCUCACCAAGGCGACGAUCCCUAGCUGGUCUGAGAGGAUGACCGGCCACACUGGAACUGGGCCAGGGUCCGGCGUCCUACGGGGGGAGGCAUGGGGGAAUAUUGCACAAUGGGCGCAGGCCUGAUGCAGCCAUGCCGGGUGUUGGAGGAAGGCCUUCGGGUUGUAAAGUCCUUUCAGCGGGGAGACGUUACCCGCAGAAGAAGCACCGGCUACCUCCGUGCAAGCAGCCGCGUAAUAC
rnacentral:rRNA from 1 species